AACGCACAUUGCGCCCGGUAGUACUCUACCGGGCAUGCCUGUUCGAGCGUCAUUUCAACCCUCAAGCCCUGCUUGGUGUUGGGGCCCUACGGCUGCCGUAGGCCCUGAAAGGAAGUGGCGGGCUCGCUACAACUCCGAGCGUAGUAAUUCAUUAUCUCGCUAGGGAGGUUGCGGCGUGCUCCUGCCGUUAAAGACCCAUCUUUAACCAAGGUUGACCUCGGAUCAGGUAGGAAUACCCGCUGAACUUAA
rnacentral:misc_RNA from 4 species